GUGUCAGCAGCCGCGGUAAUACGGAGGGUGCGAGCGUUAAUCGGAAUUACUGGGCGUAAAGGGCGCGUAGGCGGUUUGUUAAGCCAGAUGUGAAAGCCCCGGGCUUAACCUGGGAACAGCAUUUGGAACUGGCAGACUUGAGUGCAGGAGAGGAAGGUAGAAUUCCAGGUGUAGCGGUGAAAUGCGUAGAGAUCUGGAGGAAUACCAGUGGCGAAGGCGGCCUUCUGGACUGACACUGACGCUGAGGCGCGAAAGCGUGGGUAGCAAACAGGAUUAGAUACCCUGGUAGUCCACGCCGUAAACGAUGUCAACUAGCCGUUGGAUCCCUUGAGGAUUUAGUGGCGCAGCUAACGCACUAAGUUGACCGCCUGGGGAGUACGGCCGCAAGGCUAAAACUCAAAUAAAUUGACGG
rnacentral:rRNA from 1 species